AGAGAGUUUAAGGCUAACGGUGGAUGCCUAGGCAGUUUGGGCCGAGGAAGGACGCUUGCUAGCGGGCGAAAACAACGGUAAGGCCGCAAGCAGCCGUUACUAGCCGUUGGUUUCCGAAUGGGGUAACCCGUCCCAACGGAAGUUGGGACAUCCCGCUUUUUGCGGGAGGGGCACCCGGGGAACCGAAACAUCCAAGUACCCGGAGGAAAAGAAAUCAUAUGAGAUUGCCUAAGUAGCGGCGAGCGAAAGGGCAACAGCCUAAACCCCGCCUUUUGGCGGGGGGUUGCGGGACCUUCCACAAAACAAAGUCUUUUCUAGGAGAAUGACUUGGAAAAGUCAGCCAUAGAAGGUGAGAGCCCUGUAUCCGAAAGAAAAGACUUUGUUGGAAGGUAUCCCAAGUACCACGGGGCACGGCAAACCCUGUGGGAAGCUGGGUCGGUCACGAUCCAAGGCUAAAUACCCAAACUGACCGAUAGCGCACUAGUACCGUGAGGGAAAGGUGAAAAGAACCCCAACAUAGGGAGUGAAAUAGAGACUGAAACCGUUAGCUAACAAACAGAGAGAGCUCCGCCUUUGGCGGGGUGAUCUCGUGCCUAUUGAAGAAUGAGCCAGCGAGUUCUUGCUAUGUGUCUUUUUGCUUAAUCCCCAUAUUGGGGAGGAGGCAGAGGGAAACCGAGUCCAAAAAGGGCGCUUAUGAUACAUAGCAAGAGACCCGAAACCGGGUGAGCUAACCAUGGCCAGGGUGAACUCCGCCGAAAGGCGGGGGGAGGCCCGAACCCGUUGCCGGUGAAAUGGCAUGGGAGGAGCUGUGGUUAGGGGUAAUAUGCCUAUCGAACCCGGAGAUAGCUGGUUCUCCCCGAAAUAUAUUUAGGUAUAGCCCUUGUUAAAACUUACUUCGGGGUAGAGCUACUGGAUGGUUCGCCAAGCUUUAAGCGAGGCGAAUCAACCAAACUCCGAAUACGAAGUAAGGUUAACAAGGAGUCAGUCCUGCCGGGAUAAGCUGGUAUGACGAGAGGGGAACAGCCCAGAUUCCCAUCUAAGGUUCCCAAAUGACUCCUAAGUGUUUUCUUAAGGUCGUCAACUUCCUAAAACAGCCGGGAAGUUGGCUUAGAAGCAGCCAUCUUUUAAAGAGUGCGUAACAGCUCACCGGUCUAGGAAGUUGGCGCCGUAAAUGAUCGGAACUUAAGAAGUCUACCGAAGAUGGAACUCUUCGACGUUACGUCGAAGGGGGUAGGGGAGCGUUCCUAACGCGGUGAAGCCCCGCCGUAAGGCUGGGUGGAGCGUUAGGAAGUGAGAAUGCUGGCAUGAGUAGUGAUUCUUUCCGGUGAAAGCCCGGAAUGCCGAAAGCCUAAGGUUUCCCUGGCAAUGUCAAUCAACCAGGGGUUAGUCGGAACUAAUCUCGCUGUCGUUAGGCAGCGGGAGAUGUACAAGCAGUUAAUAUUCUGCUACCUAAGAAAAGGCGCUAUUACUUAAUCAACGACGAGGUUUGUUGGCUCCAGCCUCGCCUUUGGCGGGGUCUAAAUAGCAAGUCCUUCGGCCUUGUGUUGAAGGGCAAGCUAUGAUGGCAAUUCUUCAGCAAUGAAGGAGAGUGGAGUUCAAUAAGCCUCCGGGAAAAGUUGAUUAAGGAGCCUUUUCUUAGACCGUACCGCAAACCGACACAGGUAGGCUGGUGGAGGACACCAAGGCAUGCGGGUGAGGCCGGCUCAAGGAACUCGGCAAAAAAGCUGAGCGUAAGGUUUCCGAGAUGCUCUCCCCGCCUUUUUGGCGGGGCGCAGCGAAAGUUUGUCAGCCGACUGUUUAUCAAAAACACAGGUUCCUGCAAACCCGUAUAGGGGAUGUAUAGGAGCUGAGACCUGUCCAGUGCCGGUAAGUUAAGCGCUGGGGUUGACCCCGCCUUUGGCGGGGGAGGCUCUGGUGCAAGCUCCGGUGAACGACAGCUCUAACCUUGAGAGUUCUAAGGUAGCGUAACCCCUUGCCGGGUAAGUUCCGGCCCGCAUGAAAGGUCUAACGAGCUGGCAACUGUCUUGAGCCGGUGCCCGACGAAGUUGAAAUGGCUGUGAAGAUGCGGCCUGCUUGCACAUGGACAAAAAGACCCCGGGAGCUUUACUGAAGCUUGGCAUUGGAAGAGAAAAGUUAAUUGUUGAGCGUAGGAGGGACCCCUCCGUAAGGCGGGGGCCAAUGAAACACCUCUCUUUAACUUUUUUCUUCCUUAUCCUGCCUUUGGCGGGAGACAGUGCUAGGCGGUCAGUUUAGCUGGGGCGGCUUCCUCCAAAAAGGUAACGGAGGAGCACAAAGGUCAGCUUGGUCCGGAUGGAAAUCGGACUGGAAGUGCAUACGCAUAAGCUGGCUUAACUGUGAGAGUGACCACUCAAGCAGAGGCGAAAGCCGGUGUAAGUGAUCCCCCGAAUCGCUGUGAUCGCGGUCGGGGCUUAACGGAUAAAAGCUACCCCGGGGAUAACAGGCUAGUCGUCUCCGAGAGUUCCCAUCGACGAGACGGUUCGGCACCUCGAUGUCGGCUCACCGUAUCCUGGGGCUGAAGUCGGUCCCAAGGGUCGGGCUGUUCGCCCGUUAAAACGGUACGCGAGCUGGGUUCAGAACGUCGUG
rnacentral:rRNA from 1 species